CGUAGGGACCAAGCGUUGUUCGGAUUUACUGGGCGUAAAGGGCGCGUAGGCGGCUUGUCAAGUCACUUGUGAAAUCUCUGGGCUUAACCCAGAACGGCCAAGUGAAACUGACAUGCUAGAGUGCAGAAGGGGCAAUCGGAAUUCUUGGUGUAGCGGUGAAAUGCGUAGAUAUCAAGAGGAACACCUGAGGUGAAGACGGGUUGCUGGGCUGACACUGACGCUGAGGCGCGAAAGCCAGGGGAGCAAACGGGAUUAGAUACCCCGGUAGUCCUGGCCCCUAAAGAUGAAUACUUGGUGUCUGGAGUUAUUAGUGCUCCGGGUGCCGUCGCUAACGUUUUUAGAUUCCGCCUGGGGAGUACGCUCGCAAGAGUG
rnacentral:rRNA from 1 species